rnacentral:tRNA from 1 species
GCGGGUAUAGGUUAAUGGUAGACUUACCGAUUUCCACUCGGUGUGUGUCAGUUCAAAUCUGACUACCCGUA